GGCGAAAAUGAGGUGGACCGAGAAAAUUAUUAGCAAAAGAGAGAAUCGUUUCAGACAAGGUCACCUUCCUUUGGGGGACGGCAGGGGUCUCGCAGGCAGACUCCCUCACCAGUGCUGACCAGUGCUGAAGUGUGGGCCGUCUCAUUUAAGGAAACCUCCCGAUUCUUUAGUGCUAUGUGAAUAUAUAAACCAACAUUCAGAUAAAAAUUGAAGAGGAGUUUCAGCAUCCUUUCCUUAUCCUAAUUCAAGUCAUCAAUAAAAGUGCUGAACAGAUCAGCGCUGGACGGAGUCCCCUAUCAGAAAAUGUAGAUAUCACUCACGGUGGAAAUCGACCCAGCAGCUUUGGAAAAUGGCAGAUAAAUUAAAAUGCAAAGUCAUUAAAGAGUAUUGAGUCCACAUUUCAUCGUUUUGCCGGUUCAAAUGAAAAGUUUUGUCAAAUGUCUUGGUAAAACUCAAGUAGCCACAUGUUUCAGGAGUGAACUUUCAAAAGGGCCAAGGCAGCCCUUCUAUCAGGCUAGUAAA
rnacentral:lncRNA from 1 species